rnacentral:rRNA from 1 species
AGUGAACGCUGGCGGUAGGCCUAACACAUGCAAGUCGAACGGCAGCACAGUAAGAGCUUGCUCUUACGGGUGGCGAGUGGCGGACGGGUGAGGAAUACAUCGGAAUCUACUUUUUCGUGGGGGAUAACGUAGUGAAACUUACGCUAAUACCGCAUACGACCUACGGGUGAAAGCAGGGGAUCUUCGGACCUUGCGCGAUUGAAUGAGCCGAUGUCGGAUUAGCUAGUUGGCGGGGUAAAGGCCCACCAAGGCGACGAUCCGUAGCUGGUCUGAGAGGAUGAUCAGCCACACUGGAGCUGAGACACGGUCCAGACUCCUACGGGAGGCAGCAGUGGGGAAUAUUGGACAAUGGGCGCAAGCCUGAUCCAGCCAUACCGCGUGGGUGAAGAAGGCCUUCGGGUUGUAAAGCCCUUUUGUUGGGAAAGAAAAGCAGCAGGUUAAUACCCCGCUGUUCUGACGGUACCCAAAGAAUAAGCACCGGCUAACUUCGUG